AUUGAACGCUGGCGGCAGGCCUAACACAUGCAAGUCGAACGAGUGGCGGACGGGUGAGUAAUGUCUUGGAAACUGCCCGAUGGAGGGGGAUAACUACUGGAAACGGUAGCUAAUACCGCAUACCAUCGGAUGUGCCCAGAUGGGAUUAGCUAGUAGGUGUGGUAACGGCUCACCUAGGCGACGAUCCCUAGCUGGUCUGAGAGGAGGACCAGCCACACUGGAACUGAGACACGGGCCAGACUCCUACGGGAGGCAGCAGUGGGGAAUAUUGCACAAUGGGCGCAAGACUGAUGCAGCCAUGCCGCGUGUAUGAAGAAGGCCUUCGGGUUGUAAAGUACUUUCAGCGAGGAGGCGGUACUCGCAGAAGAAGCAACGGCUAACUCCGUGCCAGCAGCCGCGGUAAUAC
rnacentral:rRNA from 1 species